UACGUAGGCAGCAAGCGUUGUUCGGAGUUACUGGGCGUAAAGGGUGCGUAGGCGGUUGUUUUAAGUUUGGUGUGAAAUCUCCCGGCUCAACCGGGAGGGUGCGCCGAAUACUGAACGGCUAGAGUGCGGGAGAGGAGAGUGGAAUUCCUGGUGUAGCGGUGAAAUGCGUAGAUAUCAGGAGGAACACCGGUGGUGUAGACGGCUCUCUGGACCGUAACUGACGCUGAGGCACGAAAGCGUGGGUAGCAAACAGG
rnacentral:rRNA from 1 species